AGUUAUGUUUGAAUGAAUGAACUUACAUUUUAUCGCGGUUGUAUGGGUCUGUAAUGGUGUGUUUCUCAGCUGAGCUGAAAUAUGCUGUGAAUCACUAGUAGCGGUAUAAGUUUAGCCGGUUAGUGUGUUAGCAUAGAAGACAACAACAACACAAACACGUUCAAACUCACUCAGAUACACACUGAAUUACAAUUACAGUUGCAAGAAGUUUCUGAACCCUUCGGACAGCCUGUCAGUCAUCACUCACUGUCCUCAAUGCAGGCGUUCGUGUGUUAUUAGUUUAGUUUAGCCGAGAAGAUCUUAAAGGAAGAUCAGACCAUAGUUUGGGAUGGUGACGGUCUCCGGCUCUCUCUCGGUUCUGCUGGACUCAGUGUUGUGUGCUGUGGGUCCGCUGGCCUGUCUCACCUCUCAGGUCUCAGAACUCAACGGCUGUCCACAUCAUGUGCUGUCAAACACUCUGGACAACAUCGCCUACGUGAUGCCGGGUCUGUGAAGGACUCGUGACCCGAUGGCGCUGCUAGCUGCUCCUCAGCGUCUGAUCAAACAUCCACUAAAGACUUUACGACUCGCGCGGUUUUGCACUGUAACUCACACACACUUCAACUUUUAACCUGCUUCUUAAACCUGCGCUCCAGUUUUAUCUGAUCCAAUGUUGAUUUUGUAUUUCUGUUGUUUUUCCUCAAUAAAAUCCAUUUUAGUAUGUUCUUUUAACUCUGCAGUGGGCCGUGGGUUUUGUAGUUGGAAUAUGUUGGGUUUGAGAAUAUGAAGUGGGCUUUCAGAAAUGAGUGAUUCACAGUGUGAAGCGUUCUCAGCGUUACAGACAUCAGCGAGAGUUUCUCUAGUCCUGAUGCAGAGAAUCUCACCGGGCGAGUUAACCUUAACUCUUCCUGAAUAAAAACACAUCUGGUUUAAUUUCACAGAUGCUCUGUUUAAAGAGACUCGACACAUCUGUGAGCUUGAGGUUAGACACUAGAUGUGUUUCUGCGCUCAAAAACUAGAUAAUCACCUCAUGGAGUCUCUGGAUGUGAAAGUAAGAAGUUGAGCUUUGUAGAAACAGCAAGCCCUCCUGUCCUGCUGAAAAGCCUGCUCUGCUCUCAGGUUUAGAGGGGUUUUGAGCACUUCUCAGCUGCCCAGGGCCACAAACCUUAACAACUGAACACCAUCGAACCAGUCUAGGCUGGGUGCAGAUUCGUGUGAGCGGCUGAUGCAGGUUUGUUGGGUCUGGGUGCGGCUGCAUCGCUGUGAUUCACACACAAGACGAGAGGUGUGACACAUCUCUGAUACGAGAGGACACACACAGAGACGCUUGCCACUCAGAUCAGCAGAGAGAGACGGACACGCAUGGAUUCCUCUGAACAGGGUAAGACUGUCAGAUCACCACACUCUUCCUCACAUCUUCAUGUUCUCCUGCAGCACAGCGAGGGCUUGUAAUUGACUCUAAAUUUCACAUUUCAUUAAAUUAGUAAUUUUAUUAAACAUGGCAUGUUCGUGACAGUGAGGAGAAACACACACACUAGACUAGUUUAAUUAUUUACUCUGUUGAAGUUAUAUUUUCUGUUACUGAUGUGUGUGUGUGUGAGAGAG